rnacentral:rRNA from 1 species
UACGGGGGGGGCAAGCGUUGUUCGGAAUUACUGGGCGUAAAGGGCGUGUAGGUGGCCAACUAAGUCCGACGUGAAAGCCCCGGGCUUAACCUGGGAAUGGCCAUGGAAACUGGCGAACUGGAGUGUGGCAGAGGGGGGUGGAAUUCCGCGUGUAGCAGUGAAAUGCGUAGAGAUGCGGAGGAACACCGAUGGCGAAGGCAGCCCCCUGGGCUAGCACUGACGCUCAGGCACGAAAGCGUGGGGAGCAAACAGG